UACGGAGGGUGCUAGCGUUGUUCGGAAUUACUGGGCGUAAAGAGCGCGUAGGCGGCUAGGUAAGUUGGAAGUGAAAUCCCGGAGCUUAACUCCGGAGCUGCUUUCAAAACUGCUUAGCUAGAAAUUGGUAGAGGAUAGUGGAAUUCCUAGUGUAGAGGUGAAAUUCGUAGAUAUUAGGAGGAACACCGGAGGCGAAAGCGACUAUCUGGACCAAAUUUGACGCUGUGGCGCGAAAGCGUGGGGAGCAAACAGG
rnacentral:rRNA from 1 species